rnacentral:rRNA from 1 species
AGAGUUUGAUCCUGGCUCAGAUUGAACGCUGGCGACGUGCUUAACACAUGCAAGUCGUGCGAGAAAGGAGACUUCGGUCUCUGAGUAGAGCGGCGCACGGGUGAGUAACGCGUGGAUGAUCUACCUUGAGUUCGGGAUAACGGCGCGAAAGCGCCGCUAAUACCGUAUAACAAUCCAUUUCAACGUGGGUUCAAAGCAGG